rnacentral:antisense_RNA from 1 species
GUCCGUUGCUGAGAUGCGUGGAGCUGAUGACAAUGUAGUAACACUCCAUGGGGCAGCCGCCGCCUCCUCCGCCGCAGCCGCCGCUUCCACGCACCCCGCGCCCACAGCCGCAGCGCGCCGGGGCCGGCGAGGGUGGGUUGGGGACCCGCCACGAGGGCACGCAGCCGCCCCCGGCACGUCCUCUGGAGACUGGCUCACUGCACCCCUCUGUGGUGCGCGCCGAGGCUCUCCCGCCUCCGCAUGCUCGCCGCGCUCUCCCUCAGUCUCUCGCUCUUCUGUUUCUCUUGUGAUUCGCGUCGGGACUACGAGCCCCGCGGGAGGAUUCCAGGCUAGGAGGGGGCCGGGCCGGCGAAACGGAGCUGAGCGGGAGUCAGUGCCCGCGCGGCGGCCGGGCGGAGCGGGGCUGCGGGAGCCGCCUGCGCGGCAGCAGAAGCGGCGGCGGCGGCAGCAUCCCCCGCGCUCGGCGCCUGCACUCGGAGUUGCUGCUGCUGGCAGGCAUGAGUGUUAUUAUAGUGAGCGGCGUUGCCGGUCCAUUGCACUGAGCCAAUGGCAGGGAGCCACUGGGCUGAUACUGAGAGCUGUCAGAGGAGUACAUCUGUCACCCGCUGCCUCCCCCGCCCACCCCGCCGCCGGGACCCGCGGCCGCGCCAGCCCGAGCGCGAGUGGGAGCGCCCCGCGCGGCGCCGCUGCCGCAGAGGGCCGGGGACGCGACGGCCACCGCCAAGUGGGAGACUCCUGGAAGUAUAAAGCUCAAUAUCCAGUUCAGGAAACGGGAAACACUGAUAUAUGACUUGUCCCAUGGAACAGAAUAUCAUCUACGUGGAAUGUCACACUGUGCUUCUAGUGGCAAAGUUUGCAUAUAUGUAUGUAUCAGUGUAUCUUUAAAUUUGCCAUUGUGUUGCAAGCACUUGUUAUAUCCUUCCUAUUAUUCCUAUUAUUUAAAUCAAUUUUUAUUUUGCAAUACUACUGGUAACGAUUUUGGAAUGAAAUGUUUCUGGGGAACCGAGUCGCCCUAAUUUAAAAAAUAAAAAUGUCUCAGUAAUUUGGACAAUAGGUUUAAUGUAUGAGGUUAAAUAUAUACCUGCUUAUUAUAAAUAUGCAGAAUCAUUUCUUGUUUAGAAAAUAUUUCAAAUAUUUUAUGGAAUAAUUACAGAUUAUUUGUGUUCAAUUGGCAACGUUCUAGCCGAACAAUUUAUAAUUAAAAAUGUAAAUAAAGAAGUGUCAUUAGUCUAAAAACUUGCAGUUCAUUUUUGCUACAACUUCACUUCAAUUUUGCCCUUUUUACAACUGCAAUUGCCCCUUCAAUUCGCCCUUUACAACUGCAAUUCAAAUCAAGAUUCUUUAAGUUUUGCUCUUAUACUGAUUUAUCCCACUUGUCUUGCUUUGCUUAACUCAAAUUUGGAUAAUAGGUUUCUGCUCAGCGUUGUUCCUCAUCUGCUUCUGGCUCACACAAAAUUUCAGGACAGUAUUGUCACCUUGACAUGUGAAACCAAGGUCUUGCUCCUUUCCUACACCAGUGGCUAGACCUCUGGGUUCUAAAUCCCUUUCCAGAUUCAUUCAGUCCAGCUCUUCCAGGAGUAGGUAAAUCUUUCCUGAGUUUACCUACUGAUGUUUAACACUAUAUGUUACUACCUCCACAUGCCUUUCCACUGGACUCACUACUUCCUGUCAUAAAAAUCUUUGGAUGCUUUUACUAUGUCUGAAUAACUUCCCAUCACACAACUGAAAAAUCCACAAAUUAGAUUGACUUCUGGGUUCCAGCAACUCAGCCUUACCUGGGCUUUUGUGAACCAAGUUUUUAAUCUUAUGUCAUCCUGAAAUAAUAAACAAAGCAAAUAUGUAUUCUACCACUUUUCAUAUGUGUCUGGGAUGUAUUCAUAGUCAUCACUGAGUAUAUUUCGGGAUUCAAAAUUUUCCUUUUCAUUACUGUAAUAAUCUUAAGCAUAUUUUUAUCAUCUGUAUAACCAUAUAACUGGAUAAUUUGUAACUUAGUGUUGCCGCUAUUUAUCACUUUGGUUUACAUUCAUGUUUAUUAUCACAUUGGUGCCCAGCACUACUGCUUUUAUUAUUUUUGAAUAAUAAAAAUUUAACACGUGAUUGUUCACUCUAAGUUAAUGCCAAGUGAUAUGAUGGCAUGCUGCAUAAAUGAAGGUGCUACAUAGUUAAAUUGGAAAAAGUGGUAGAGGAACAACAUCACCAUAGGCACUCAUAGUCAUUGUAAACUUCAGGCAUGUGGAGAUCAGUGUUGACACACAAACACUCAUAAACAAAUUCAUGUUUGAGAUAGGAUUUGAUUUCAGCAAAGCAACAUCAUCUGUUGUAUUAAAUUAAGUUGGAAAAUUUGGAUAUUUUGCCUGUUGUAUUUUCAUUUGAUUUCUUUUUUUUGGUUUGUGUUUACAUAAGAGCUAUAAGCAUAUGGGGUUGUAUAAUUAGUUUGAUGUUAACAUAUUUAAGUAAAAUUAUGCCUCAAGUGAACUUAGUAUAUUCAAGAGAAUAUUUAAGAAAAUGUCUAUAUGAUAUUUAGUAUGAGAAACGCUGAUCUAUACUAGUCAUGGGAUACAUAUUGAAUACCAAAACUGAUAUUACCUGAAGCUGAUAAUGCAAUUGUAUUAUUUUAUGGGUGAUGGUAAAAUUUUAAGGUAAUUAUUAGAUAAUAAUUUCCUAAAAGUAGCUCCAUGAUCAUAACCUUGUUUCUGUAUUCAAAUUCGGCUGAGUUGAAAUAUGGUCCUGUUAAAAACAAGGAUCAAUAAAUUGUCACUGAUUGUAAGACAUAUAUAAAGAUGUUACAAACAGGAAGGCAUCUUCUAAUCAAUGAAGUGUGAAACCUAUAUUUGUGUGGAUUCUAUCACAAUCAACACCUUAUUACAAACCACUGUAAGGCACCUUCAACUAAAACAACUUUUGAAUAUUGGGCAAAUAAUUAUUCAGACUCCCUUAACUUCACUUAUUUAACCUUUGAAAGAAAGGGAAUAAGCAAGAUAUUACCUUAUGUUUUUUCAAGCUUAAUUAUCUGAUUCUCUGGCAGCUUGCCUAGAGCUGAUGUUGAUUAUGCCUGGCAGAACAGAAUACCAACUAAUACCAACUUAGCUACCCACUUGAAGAUGUGUGUCUUGAAUAGCUGGUAUAACUGUAGGAAUUGUGGAAAUGUGGAAAUGGAUAAAAAUGUAAAAAGGAUUAGAGAGAAAUUUCAUAAUUUUUCUGGAUUCAACCUUAAUUAGUAGAUAAAAUAAUUUAAUUAUGCAACUUUUUACAUCUUAAAAGAAUGAUAGAGCACUUGUUAGGCUGUAAAAAAUAUUUAGGUGAUAUUGAUAUUUUUCAAGCAUUUUUACCCCUUACUUUUCAAUUCUAAUAAGUAGCCUUGGGAUAAAUGCCAAGACAACGCAAAUUGGAGAGCCAAAGCUACGUUUCUAAUAUGUUGCCAACAAAAUUAAUGCAAUUGGAUGAAUGUAAUUAAUUUACCAAAAGGAAUAAAAUUAAGAUAUAUUAUUAUGAGUAAAGAAGAAAAGAUGAACAAUAACUACAUUCCUGUGUUUUAUUCCCUUUUUUG